UUCUUCAGGGCAGGGUGAAAGUCCCUACCGGUGGUAUAGCCCACGAACCGCAAGGUAUGAUUCGGUGCAACUCCGAAGCCGACAGUAUAGUCUGGAUGAAAGAAGAA
rnacentral:ncRNA from 1 species